GCACAUCCAAGGCUGCGGUCCAAGGUGGGAACAGCAGAUGCGCCUCGGGCAGUAGUGCUGGCCAGUGGUUGAGGAGGGAGAGGGGCAAAUCCCGGGUGGCGCCCUGUAGGAGGGUCGGCCGUGAAGCAGAGCAGCUAGAAGGGAUACGACUGGCUAGGGCUCCCUGGUGGGGAGAGGGAGGCAUGCAGAGGGAGGCUGGCUGAGGUGAGAGUGCAGUGGCGAGCAGACAGAGCACCCCGAGGGACAGAGCUGUCCGCCCAAACUGAGGGCUUCACCUUUGAAUCAAGAGGCAAAUGGAGCCUCUGAUGGCCCAGCAGGGCUCUCUGACUGCAGUCCUCGGACGCAGAUGACUCUUCACCCCGAGGCCAGGGGUUUCCACCAGGUGUCCCCGUGCUGAGUCCGAGAGUGGCAGUUUAUCCAACUAGAGAUGCGUGGAGGGGUCCCUUGACCCCAGAGGUGGAUAUUGUGGUGGGUGGAGGGGAGUUCUUGUGGGGGGCAUCCUCGGGAGGAAGAGUUGAGGACCAAGACUCAGGAGAGCCUUGGGACUAGGGUUGACACCUCUGGGGACAGCCUGAACCAGGACAGAGGCAUCUAUUUAGGGAUUCAUAGUCACUGUUUUUUUUUUUUUUAAACAUCUUUAUUGGAGUAUAAUUGCUUUACAAUGGUGUGUUAGUUUCUGCUUUACAACAAAGUGAAUCAGUUAUACAUAUACAUAUGUUCCCAUAUCUCUUCCCUCUUGCAUCUCCCUCCCUCCCAUCCUCCCUAUCCCACCCCUCUAGGUGGCAUAGUCACUUUUUUUUUUUUUUUUUUUGCGUUACGCAGGCCUGUCACUGCUGCGGCCUCUCCCGCUGCGGAGCACAGGCUCCGGACGCGCAGGCUCCGCGGCAUGUGGGAUCUUCCCGGACCGGGGCACGAACCCGUGUCCCCUGCAUCGGCAGGCGGGCCCUCAACCACUGUGCCACCAGGGAAGCCCCCAUAGUCACUUUUAACUGGCAUUUAGAUGCAUGCCUGCAGCACCCUCAAGAAUGACAAUAUUUGACCAUCCGUCUCCCACCCAGCAAGCUCUCCACGCUUUGAAACAGUAGCAUCCUAUUCAGGGCCAGCGAUUUGGAGCAGAGAAAAGCCGAAAGAGAUGCAAAUGGAGAGACUGACCCUUGGGGAGGAAGAGGGAGUCUCUCCUCCCCUUUUCUGUUGUCCUUUGGGGGUGGGUGGGCAAUCGGGGGGCCUGGGAAGAGGAGCCGAGAUGGGGAGUCACUAGCCAAAGGUGGCACAUGGAGGCUGGAGGGACCUCGCGUCUCAGCCCCGUCGAGACGGCUCUGUUGUUGUCUCUUGCAGCCUUCCCGCCUUCUUGUCCUUGGGCUCUGUGUCCAAUCCUUGCUGUCAGCACCUCCUCCCUGAGCCAGCGCCUGGCAAACGCAGCUAUGAGAUCAUGGGGCGGGAGCCCUGAGCAGGAGGCAGUAGGCCUCCCUGCGGCCGGCAGGAGGGAUUCCAGCAACAAGGAGAACUUCCAGCUCGGUCUCAGGGUUCCCAGCUUUCUCCACACCCUAGGGGAGCAGCUGGAAUGUCCCUCUCCUCCUGAAGAGUCCUCCUGGGAUGACUGUGCCUGAGGCGGGCUCUGUCCCUGCAGCUGAGCUGGGGCUGCGGACUGGACAGCGGCCCCUGGAGGUGAGGCUGGGGAUUGCGGCUUCGUACCGGCUUUGGCUCCCUGCCGGCUCACAUUCUCACCCCAGGCAUUCUGAAAGUCACACUUGUUUGUGUAGGGUGUGCCUGAGUGUGUGAAGGUGUGUGGAGACUUGGGCGAGUGUGUCUCGUGUGGGUGUGUGAUUGGAGCGUGUCUAUGUCUGUGUAGAGUGCGUACACGGGUGUGCGUGUGUGUGAAUGGAAUGCGGGCUCCCGCAGACUGUUGCCCGUGUGUAAGCCCCUUGUAUACUAGUGCGUGCGCACACUCCAGAGCACGUGUGACAGUGGAAAGGCACAUGUUUCUGUGGGUACCUGGAGGAGCUUGAGGGCUCUGACAGGUAGGAGCUCAUCUGUGCCUGGCGACACCAGUG